GACGAACGCUGGCGGCGUGCUUAACACAUGCAAGUUGAACGGGUCAUAUAUGAAGGGUAACCGGAGUGUAUGGCUAGUGGCGAACGGGUGAGUAAUGCAUGAGAACGUAUCCUCAAGAGGGGGACAACAUUGGGAAACCGAUGCUAAUACCCCAUAAGCCGGGAGGUAAAAGGAGGAAUCCGCUUGAGGAGCGGCUCAUGUCCUAUCAGCUAGUUGGCGAGGUAACGGCUCACCAAGGCGAAGACGGGUAGCCGGCCUGAGAGGGUGAACGGCCACAGUGGAACUGAGAGACGGUCCAGACUCCUACGGGAGGCAGCAGUGGGGAAUAUUGGGCAAUGGGGGAAACCCUGACCCAGCGACGCCGCGUGAGGGAAGAAGGCCUUAGGGUCGUAAACCCCUGUUGUGUGGGAAGAAGAGCGUGACGGUACCACACGAGGAAGUCCCGGCUAACUACGUGCCAGCCGCCGCCGUAA
rnacentral:rRNA from 1 species